AUUGAACGCUGGCGGCAGGCCUAACACAUGCAAGUCGAGCGGAUGAAGGGAGCUUGCUCCUGGAUUCAGCGGCGGACGGGUGAGUAAUGCCUAGGAAUCUGCCUGGUAGUGGGGGAUAACGUCCGGAAACGGGCGCUAAUACCGCAUACGUCCUGAGGGAGAAAGUGGGGGAUCUUCGGACCUCACGCUAUCAGAUGAGCCUAGGUCGGAUUAGCUAGUUGGUGGGGUAAAGGCCUACCAAGGCGACGAUCCGUAACUGGUCUGAGAGGAGGAUCAGUCACACUGGAACUGAGACACGGUCCAUACUCCUACGGGAGGCAGCAGUGGGGAAUAUUGGACAAUGGGCGAAAGCCUGAUCCAGCCAUGCCGCGUGUGUGAAGAAGGUCUUCGGAUUGUAAAGCACUUUAAGUUGGGAGGAAGGGCAGUAAGUUAAUACCUUGCUGUUUUGACGUUACCAACAGAAUAAGCACCGGCUAACUUCGUG
rnacentral:rRNA from 1 species